GGUGUGGUUAAUGAUGCAAUAUUCUUUUCCCGUCUUAUCGACUAUGGUGAAAAACAGCUAAAGAUAAGCCAACUUUGUCUGAAACCACAUU